UUUUUUUUUUUUUUUUUUUUUUUUGUCUUUUCUAGGGCCGAACCCUCAGCAUAUGGAGGUUCCCAGGUUAGGGGUCUAAUUGGAGCUGUAGCUGCCGGCCUACAACAGGGCCACAGCAACGUGGGAUCCGAGCCAUAUCUUCGACCUACACCACAACUCACGGCAACGCCGGAUCCUAAACCCACUGAUCGAGGCCAGGGAUCAAACCCACAACUUCAAGGUUCCUAGUCAGAUUCGUUAACCACUGUACCAUGAGGGGAACUCCCUCAAACACUCUUAAAAUGAGAAGAAACUAUAUAGAAACCCCCCCAAAAGCAUAUUAUAAAGUGUCAUAAAUCAGUUUCUAAUACCACCCACAACUUUUCGUGGACUUUAUUCUCUCUCUUUAUAGGCAAAAGGCUCAGCUUCACUCCAUUUUCUUGUAUGUAUUUAUGGACCAGUACUGAACCAAAGUUGGUGCUCUCCUGGGCCUUUGUAUACAUCAUGAAAACAGAGCAUUCUUUUCCUCAUCUUUUAUACCUACUUAUCUGCUGUAUUAGUUUCCUGUGGUUGCUGUAACGAUUGACCACAAACUGGGUGGCUUAAAACAUUGGAAGUGUAUUCUUUUAUAGUUGCAGAAGCUUAAAGUCUGAAAUCAGUAUCAUUGAGCUGGAAUCUACUCUUGUGAGGCUCUGGGGCAGUUUCCACUCAGAUGAACCCUCUUGUAUGCCUAACCUAUAAACAUGGUGAGAUCAGAAAUGUCUGUGGUUGGAAGUUCCCUUUGUGGCCCAGCAAUUAAUGAUCCUCACUAGGAUCCAUGAAGAUGUGGAUCCUUAACCCACUGAACAAGGCCAGGGAUCGAACCCGAGUCCUCAUCGAUGCUAGUCAGGUCCAUUAACUGCUGAGCCACAACAGGAACUCCGAUGUGUUUUGAUAGAACAAAAAAAAAAAAUUCAAAUAAGAUGACAGUAGGAGUGUGUAAACACAAAUGCCUCUGGAAUGACUUAGGCAUCGAUCUUAGUAUUUUCUUCCAGUAGCAUUCUCUUCUCAGAUGUGGAAGGAUCCUGCAUUUUUAGAAUCUACUGCCAGAGUUCCCAACACGCUGGUCAGUCUCAAGACUCAAGCAUGACUCAGGGAGGGCUUUGAAAGAAAUGCCUAGUAACUAGAUUAGAAAAUAACUAGGUUUAGGAGUUCCUGCUUAUGCUGUCUGUGGCACUGGGAUACAGUUUCUACACCCUGCACAGUGGGUUAAAGAUCCAUCAUUGCGGCGACUUUGGCUGGGAUUUGAACCCUGGUCCUGGAACUCCAUAUGCCAUGAGGUGGCCAAAAAAUAAAAUAGGUUUAAAGGAAUUCCCUGGUGACCUACCAGUUUGGGACUAGACGUUGUCGCUGUUGUGGCUCAGGUUUGAUUCCUUGCCUAGGAACUGCAUACCAUCAGCAUGGCCAAAAAAAAAAAAAGUUUAAUAAACAAUUAGGAAGCUUUCUUUAAAAUUCUGAAGCACUAUUGGGAGUUCCCGUCGUGGCUUAGCAGUUAACAAACCUGACUGAUUAGUAUCCUGACUAGUAUCUAGGGACUCGGGUUCAAUCCCUGGCGUUGCUCAGUGGGUUAGGGAUCUGGCUUUGCUGUGGGCUGUGGUGUAGUUUGCAGGCUCAGCUCUGAUUCCGCGUUGCUGUGGCUGUGGUGUAGGCUGGCAGCUACAGCUCCAAUUCGACCUCUAGCCUGGGAACCUCCAUAUGGCACGGGUGUGGUCCUAAAGAGACAAAAAUAAAUAAAUAAAUAAAAUUAUCAAGCAUGCUGUGGCACAGUGAGUUAAGGAUCUGACUGCAGUGGCUCAGGUCACUGCAGAGGCAUGGUUUCAAUCCCUGGCCUGGGAAUGUCUAUAUGCCACGGGCAUGGCCAAAAAAAAAUUAUGAAGCAUCAUUAAAAUUAAAAAAAUUUUUUUUGGCAGUGCCCAUGGCAUGUGAAAGUUCCCAGACUAAAGAAUGAACUCAAACCACUGCAGUGACAAUGCUGGAUCCUUAACCCACUCUGCCACAAGAUAAUUCCCAAAAUUAAUGCAUUUAAAGCAUUCUUUUUAGGAGUGCCCAUUGUGGUUCUUUGGCAACGAACCCAGCUGGUAUCCAUGAGGACUCAGGUUAAAUCCCUGGCCUUGCUCAGUGGGUUAAAGAAUUGGCAUUGCUGUGAGCUGUGGUGUAAGUCACUGAUGCACCUCGGAUCUUAAGUUGCUAUGGCUGUGGCCAGCAACUACAGCUCCAAUUUGCCCACUAGCCUGGGAACUUCCAUAUGCUGCACCUGCAGCCCUAAACAAA
rnacentral:lncRNA from 1 species